CAGCGCCGAGUGCACGCCCGCGCACCACGUCGCUUCCGCACCCUCCGCCGUCCCACCGCUGUCGACACCACGCGAGCACUGCCAUGCAUGCACCUACACAUCAAAAAUGCGUAUAUUUGAAAGUAGUACACCAAAAAAAACAACACAGAUCAUCAACCACAUGAAGAGACGGUGGUGGGGUGACCAACUUGGACUGAAUUGCAAUACGGUGCUCCUCUUCCAACGAGAGUGCGGUGCAGGGAACACAUGCACAUCCAGAAUGUGGGCCACACAACCCAUCACAACAAGUACAUGUUAAUAUCUGAAACAUAAGAAACAUAUUUUGUAAUGUUGUUUACCAUUACAAGGGCAUUAAAUUCAACAAAAGUUCUGCACCAUGUGAUGCUCUGGUAACACAAAGCUUCUUCUAGCAAAGGAAAAUAUAUAUUUCUAGGAUGGGCCUUAUUGGCCCCCUUAAUUAUAUAUGUUAAUUUAGAAAUAUAAUAUGAUACAUAUUAAUAUCAUUGGCCUGAAAAUGUGUAAAAAAAAUACCAUUUUUUAUACUGUAAUAUACAGCCUUCCUGAACAAACAA